UGUUGACCCGACGUCACACUCGGCGGGGUUAUAAAAAUCCCCUGAAUUUAUUCUGCAGUCAUUCGCAGUGAGAAAAGCCAUAGACAAGGCAGUCACACCGUACAUAAUUGGAACAGAGACAGCCAACAAAAUGACGACCGUUUACAUUGGAUUCCUUCUCCUUGCCAUGCUUUUUUCAUCACAGGUCCAUGCGCAAAACACUACCACACAGUCCCUUCCUACGAAUGUGACCAAAGCUGACUUCACGAGUUCCUCGAUGCUCAACGUCAGUACCACGAACGUCAGUACCACGAACGUCUCCAUUCCUCAAGGAGCCAGUGUGACCUUGCAGUCCAGUGCAUUCACGCUCCUCAUCCCUGUGGUGGUCUCGCUCCUACAGGGCUGCUUCUAGAGGGUUCAUCUGCACUGAACAAAAGCCAAGACUAACAUCGGCAGCCUAGAUGUGCAAAUGUUUUACAAAGAGCACAUUCAUUCUCGGAAGGUAGCCAUUUGCGCACCUAAGCUGUGGGAUUCGGUGGCACGGGCAAAAACACUUUUCUUUGUGCUCGCACCUCCUGGCUGCUUCAAACCGUAGGCCUACACUCUGCUCACGGGCCCCAAGCCCAUGGCUUGGCAACAAGCUGUCUCACUGCAGAAUGGGACAUUUGUCCAUAUACCUUUGCGGUUUAGGCAUUAAUUCACAAAUGGGUAAGGUUUGGGAUAGGGUUAAGUCAUUUAAAGUGCCUAGCACUGGGAUUGAACACAAGACUAAUAAAUGGUAAUAGUGCUCACCGUUGCCCCUUGUGGCCAAUUUUGAAGUAAUCUCCUGACAUCCUGCUUACCUAGAAAGAUGUCUGAUUUUGCAGUGGUUCUUUAGUGACCUGGCCAUGAGGCUCUAUUAAACUCUAUUCUUUGACUCAAUAUUGUGUAAUUGCAGACCGCAAUUCAUGGGGUUUCUGGAUAUCAGGAGAAGCACAUUGGUGCCUGCUUUUCCUGGUAAAACACCCUGAAUUUGUCAGUUCUGGUGUUGAGACAGUUUCUUGACAUUUGUUUACAUGGCAGGUAAGGAUAAUUAACGUGGCCGGUUAGGUGACUUGGUGUGCCAGGUUAGGAGAAUGAGGUAAAGGGUUAGCUUUAGAUACUGUUGUCCCCAACGUGAACUACAUGACCACGGACCAGUGGUGCGCAUCAAUGGGUGUAACUUGAUUUCAAGAAACGCCCUAUCUGAAACGCCCCUACUCCUUUGCUUCACUUGGUCCCACUGUUCCUGAUUUCAGACAGAGUUUAACUUGUGUACAUUUUGGCUGUGCCUGGGGAAAUCGGCAACUGUUUGAGGUGCAUUGGAAAAUAACAGCCUAUAUUUGUCUGAUCUGUGGCACUUAUGUCCUUAACAGUGCUAUUCUUAAUCCUGCAACUGCAAUGGACACUUUGUCAGAGGCUUGAUGUAGCCUACACUUGUGAUAAACUUAUAGAAUUUUAUAUUGUAAACAUGUGACUUAUGUAAGUCAGUGAUGCUUUUAGAUCUCUUUGUAUGUCAGGUUCAAUAAAGCUUUGAAAUGUA